GUUCUCUCUUGCAUUCUAUGAUGUUUCCAGACACUCUGUGCAAAGAACAGAGGCAAGCCUCCAGCCAGGAGCUCAUGAAAUCAUGAACUGAGGCCUCAGUGCAAUAGCUCAUGAGGAAAUGAAUUAUUUCAACAGCCAGGGUUGCUCUGAAGACUAAAGCCCUGGGAUCAUUCAUUUUAAAAGAAAAGAACGGUGACUCAUCAUUUCAAGCUUUUCAAAUAUGAAGUAUUACAGUAAAAAGGAUUUCACUAAAAAAAAUCAUCUACCAUACAGACACUAUAGAAGGCUUGGAAAAGACAUUGUAAUAUAAAAGAUAUAUUUUAAAUUGUGUCUAUCCCUGGAACUCUAUUAAAAUUCAAUAUUAAGAAAGUCACAAAGGAGUCUAACUUGCCUUUCAAA
rnacentral:lncRNA from 1 species